rnacentral:miRNA from 1 species
AAAAAAUGGUCAUGACUGAU